rnacentral:lncRNA from 1 species
CAUAUGUAACAAACCUGCACGUUGUGCACAUGUACCCUAGAACUUAAAGUAUAAUAAAAAAAAUUCAAGACCUUGUGUGAAACAAAGAUCUCAAAAUCGCAGGUCACAGCCAAAUGUGACCAAGAUGUAUUUAAGUUGGGGCCAUAUCACAUUUUAAGAAAAUGAACCAGCAUAUUAAAUUUAGUAGGUUUCACAUACAAAUCUAGAUCUCCAGUUUCUCUAGAAAAAUUGUGAAGUCUAGCAGCACCAGGCCUGUGUUCUUGAAUAACAGCAAUCAAUUGAACCAGAUGAUCAGCCUAGUGGUUUGCCAUAGAACUCACUAUUCCCAGGGGCAUUUAUCAUACAGCUUGCAUUUUUUUUCAUUCUGAGUUUAAAAUAUAUUUUUUACCUCUUAUUUAUUUUAUGUUAUAUGCUUACACCAUAGUUCCCUAACCAUACAGAAAGUGUGAUACAUACCUACAAUUGAUUUUUCUCCCAUCCACCCUCUUCUGUAGGCAUCUGAGUUGUCAACCACUGCCCUGAAAACAAUUUUUAGUUAAAUGAGGCUGCACCAGUCCCGUGUAACCACUAGAUGGAGUCUAUUUGGCCUUGCUUGUUUCAGCUGCUCCUCAAUGUUUUGAUAACCUGAUAACCACACCAGAGCUGGUCUACAGACAAAAGGUUUACAGAAUCAAUAGUACGAUUUUCUUUUCCAGUAGUUUUCAGGGCUAAAUGUCACUCUGGUAAAAUUUUCCAUUAUAAUUUGUAAAUCUAAAUAUAUAUGUAUGAGAAUAUGCAUGGGAAAACAUAUGAGUUCAUAAUCACUCAAAUAAAGUAUUAUUGGAACUCCAAAACAGAAGGCAUUUGAUACUGCUAUUUCAGGGUUCACCUAGUUUUUAUCAACUUCAGGUGGAAAAUUAUCAAAGAAGAAAACAGGUAUUAUUUUUAUGGAAUGACAUAUUCUUAUCCUACCAUAAAUGUCUGAGUGUAGAGUUACAAUUUCUAUUAUUAGCAAAAGGGAAAAUAUUUUAAUAUAGGUUGUUUAUAAUAAAUAGUUUUUCAACUGAAGAAAAGUUAACCAUGUGCCGUUCACCCAAUUCACAUUCAUCUUUGCACCUUCUUAAAUUUGUUUUUAAAUUUGUCAAUAACUUGAUGGUUUUACACAAGGAUAGACCAGUAAAAUUGAUUUUCAGUCUGACAUCAAGGGCAAUACAGAUCCCAGGGGAGCAAGGCCAGCUAGCAUGAGGAUACUAUGCUACCAAUGUGUGAAUUACUGGGCUGCGAAGGAAGCCUAGAGGAAAUGAAAAAAUGUAUUUAUUUAGAUAUAACAAUGUGUGACUCUUCCCACUAGAAAUUAGAUGAAUCAUUUUGGUACUAAUUUAAAGCCAUUUUAACACAUAAAUGUCCUGUCAUUGGUUCAAUUUAUGUAGUAUCAGCUGUAUGUCCUAAACUGAGGUUAAGUCUACAGGUACAAAAAUAAGAAGGAAAUGGUUGGUCCUUACACCAAAGAAAUUUGGAGUCUGGAAAAAAAAAAUCACAUACAGGAAUAAUAAUUGUAAAGAAAAUGCAACAACUGAAAUUUAUAUAUUAUAAAAUGGUAUGCACAUAUAUUUGGUUUAUAAAUAACAUAAAUAUAACAUAUAAUGCAUCAGACAGAAGUAAAAGCUUUAAAUUUCAGUUAUAAAAUGAAAACAUAUUGCUAUGAAUAAUGAAAACUAAAUUAAUAAAAAAUUUUAUGUUAUCAUUCUGGAAAAUCUUUCAAAAACAGUCUUUGGGGUAGUAUAACUUUGUGACCAGAUGCUCAUAGCUCAAAUAUAAAGAUUAGUCAAAAUUGGCAAAAAGCUAUGUUCUACAGAACAAAUUAUCACUUGCUUCACAAAUAGCAAGUGUGCUCACCUAAGGAAAAUCAUGCUUGUACGAAAAAAGAUAGUUCCCUAGUUUCCAAAUUGUAGUAAAAAUGCAGUGAUCAUGGGCAACUUCAAAACCACAUCAAAGAAAACUGUAUGAAAAAGCAGACAGGGAAUGCAUAUUUUCAAAAUGCCACAAUGUUACAUUGCAAACCCUGGUCUAAACCGUAACAAAAAAUAAAACUAAUUUAAAAACCAAUUAUAAUAUCUGAGGAAACAGAUUACUAAAAGUAUGGAUAAAUGAAUUGUUCUUGAGAAUAUGUAUAAUUUCCAUAGAAAGAGUUAUAUAAAAUACUUGCACCUUACUUUUAAACAUAUUAAUCAUACACAUUUUUGUUUGUUUUACUUGUACACAUACAGGCAGCCAUUGAAAAGAUUAAAAUUUUAACUACAAUGAACAACUUAUUCUUUAGUCCAUGCAUUAACUAUGCAUUCAGGUAAAUAUCUGUGAAAAUAAUCAGUUAUUCUAAAACUGCUUAAGAUCUGGAAUGAUAGUAAAACUAUCUUUUUUGGAAGAGAAUUUUUCAGGAAUAUAAAUAUUUUCAUAUAACAUAAGAAGCUUCUAGAAAUGUAACAUUUUUAGACAGUUACAAUUUAUUAGAUACAGCAUUGAAAUAAUUUUCAUUGAAGAUGAUAUUAUGCUAAGCCAAUUUAUUUUGAGAUAUGUCUCUUAAAACCAGGAAAGUUAGAGAUGUUAUCUAAAAAAGAAAAAUCUUUCUUUUAAAGAUGAAAACAUUACAUUUACACUUACAAGUAAAAUGUAUUAUUAUUUAUCUAAAACACAGAGGAAUACUUAUUUUAUAUUUAAGAAUCGCAUUGUAUUAAAUUUUUCAAGAACAAUUACAAAACGCUAUCUUACAUUCAAAAUAGUUAUCUGAUAGUGGUCUAGAAAACAUUUACUAGCACAUUUCUUCUCAAAUAAUUUUCUUCAAAUGAAAGAGUAAAUACCAUUACUCAGAAUUAUCAUUUUUCUCAUUACCAGUUUCUUCACACAUGGGUUUCAAUCAAUAUUUAGUCAUUUUCAGACUAUGUAUUCACAAGCAAAGUGAAAUAGAUAAUUAUUUAAUCCCUUUAGUUCAAGCUCAAAAUAAUCAGUAUUUCAAUAAUCUUUGCUUUCAAGACUACUGUGAUUUUCAGACUGUAAUUUCACAGAAAAUUAGUUAAAUCCUGUAUUUCCCUAUGUAUAUGUGCUCAGUCUUGAUAAGGAAUAUUGUCUUCCAUUUCCUUGAUACUUAUGUUAAAAUUUACAAGAAAAUCAUCAGAAUUCAUCACAUCUUGUAAAGCAUAUUUUGUUAAUUUUAAAACAGUAUUUCUGUGUAACAGGCCAUUGUGGACAGAGAAAAUAAUUCUACGUCAAGGAGAAGUCCAAGGUCUAAAAGAAUGGAAAAUGCAAUUGAUGCCUGUUAUUAACACACAACAGGACUAGGGUGCAUGCAAUAAAAAGGAAAGAAAAUACACAGACAAAGAAUAAUUAAGGAUUGCAUCCACUUUUUACCAUUUUAACAUCUCUCCACUAUAGACAUUAAUAAUUGGGUAAUUGUAACUUUCUCCUGCUUUUACUCACUGGAGAGUUGCUGCCAAUAUCUCUAAUCAUCACAGCAUGUGCCAUUUGGCUGAAAAAGUGAAGGCAGUUUAGUAUAGAGAGAGAAAACAUUCAGGAUGAAGUGGGUUGUGAGAUGAACUGGAAAGGCAUGAAGAAACAAUAUUAGACAUGAUACAGAGUCUUGUUAUGCCCAUCGAGUUUAGACUAACCCGAAAAACAAUGUGUAAUAAUUGAAAAAUGUUCAUCCUCUUUAAAAGUAAGUGCUUUCCACAUUCUUAAAAUGUAAUGAUUAUUGCAUAAACUAGAAUCAUUAAUGUAAUGAUUAUUGCAUAAACUCGAUUAUUGCGUAAUAGGGGUAAAAAUAAAUAAGCUUAUUUGAGAAAUAUUAAGAAUGGGGCCACAGUUUGGGUUUUAGCAACUGAUUGGAAAGUGAUGCCAUUCACAUUGGACACGUUUAAAUUUGAGACGCUAGUGGAACAACCAUGUAUAGACACCUACUCGGCAAUCCUGCAUAUGAUCUCAACAUCAGAAGAGAGAUGUGGGCUGAUGACACAGAACUGAGAAUAGCCAGCGUUGCCACUGGGAGUAACCAUCACAUAUGUGGCAAAAAAGGCCAUUGGCGCAGAUAUAAUCACCCAGGCGGGAUGUGUAAAAUGGAAAAAGAAGGCAACCUAGAAGCAGGAUUCAACGUAUCAGAUACAGUAAUGAAGACAAUAAGAAAUUGGAUUGAUCCAGGUCUGGAGUUUUGCCACAGAGUGAAAUGGAACAACAAUAUGCAGGAGAAGUGAGGAUACUGAAUUCUACUUGAAAAUUAUACAGAAACAAUUUCUUAGAAUGCUCACAAAAGACCUGAAAACAUGGGGAGGAAGCAGGGCAUUUACAGGUAACUGCUGCAUAAUUGGUUCAAUCAGACUUCUUUCAAACACACUGGAUGUAGCCAGGGAUCCAAGACCAGAAACAUACGCAGAAUAGCUUCCAGAAUCUCACGGCACAAACUGUAUCUAUCCUAUCCCUUAAUUUCCCACAUGUAAGUAAAUACUGCUGUUCUAAGGGGAUUUAUGUUAUGGGGUGCCGAUUCAUUUGUCAUCUCCUUGUUUCCAAUGUUAUCUACUACAGUCUCUUCAUCUUCAGAGAUGCCAAAGUGAUUUCUUUGACAAUAUGGAGCUUCCCAUCAUCUUUGGAAUUAGAUACAGUCUUGACCAUGGCCUGCAAGGUUCUAUAUGAUCUGACUCCUGGAUACUCACCUAACCUCACUUUCUACCAUUCUCUUCUCAUGAGCUCUGAGUCCUCAUGGCUUUUCCAAUGGUCUGAAUCUACUCUUGUUUCAGAGCCCUAAUACAAUUUUCACUCAAAUAUUCACAUAGUUCCUAUCCCACCCUUUAUUUCAGUCUAUGCUCAAAUGUCAUUUCAUAAGUGACAAGUACUUUCCCUGACAAGCCUAUCUCAAAUGGCAGGCGAAGUCCCUCUCUAGCCUUUUAUUGUUCUUCACUUAUACCUAAUUUAUAUUGUAUUAUCUUUUUAUUCAUAGUACAUAUUCCCAACUAGAAUGCAAUUUUCUUAAAGAUUAUUUUAUGCGCUACUGAAACCCAUGGUGUCUCUAGUAGUGUCAAAUAUAUAUUAUGUGUUCCACAAGCAUGUUUUCAAUAAAUAAAUUUCACACCAUGAUCAUUCUAGUCCAAGAAAAUAAAUUCAAAGCAGAUGGCCUACAGAUUUUCAGAUAACUUUCUAAAAGACCAGGGUUUAGCCACCCUGAAGAUAAUUCAAAUCUAGUAAGAACCUAUCAGUGAAUGAUAAAUGCAUUAAGCAAAUGUAAGAAUAAAAGCCAUGGACCAGAUUUCCAAUUUCUAAAAUGGCAAAGUAAGUUAAAUAUUUUAAUCAGGGCUUUAAAUGAGACAGCACACAGACCUUCAAAGUCAGAAAAUGAACUAAAAUGAGAAAGAUUCUCACCCUGUUUAAAAAUAAAAAUUCCUAAUAUAUAAAAACAAAAAUCACAAUGUGAUGGCAAGUGAUACUUUUGGAAAUAAUCAUUUAUCUUAGAUAAUGAUUAGAUUUUACUUUCUUAUAAAUGAAUUAUUAAAUGUUUAUUCACAAACUAAUUCACUACAUAAUAUGACUCCAUGUACUAUGAGGCCUACAUUAGCUACUGUGUAGGUGAAAAACUGAAUAAAAUAUUACCCUUAUCUCAAGGAGCUUUUUCUCUGGUAGGAAGAUCAUGUAGGUACCCUAAUAACU